rnacentral:misc_RNA from 1 species
GUUUUCUUGUUUUGCUGGUUUUUUUUUUCUUUACGUUGUAUGUUUUAACUUGGCCCAUGCUUAAUUGCUCAGAAACUAGGGGAAAAAAGAUAAGAAAAAUGAGAUCUUUUAUACUUUCUUGGCUAAUUAAUUGUCCUUACUCGGCAGUCAUAGAUUCAAGAAUUUGGUUUCAUCCUUGUUUAAGUUCCUUAAAUUUUCUCGGCAACCAAACAUGUUAUCAAUGAAACUUUUUUAUGUAUCUGGUUCCAAGUUCUGUGUUAGUUGGGAUUUGCUUUGUUAUUAAAGGUUUUAAAUGGUCAUAAUAACAGCAUUGAAACACUAAGAAUGAACAGCAGAUUAUAAUAUAUUUACUUUCAUGUUCUAGGCUUGCUUAUGCUUGCUUUAAUUAUACGUUUUCAAUUUAAUAAUGUCUAGAAAAUAAUUUAUCUAUUUUUCUCCAUUAAAUGUUGACCAAAAUAUUGGAAGAGUAGGUACAUAGGCAGAGAAUUUUGUUCUUGUUGUUAUUGUGUGUGUGCAUGGGCCCUAUAACCCAAAUAUUUGGGCCAAUUAGAAGCCUAACGUUGAGUAUUUGGGCGGUUCCAGGAGUUUGAAAUUGAUUUUCAUGUCAUGGCUUUGAAAUUGUAUGAGUAAAUUGAGAUGUGUUC